GACGAACGCUGGCGGCGUGCCUAAUACAUGCAAGUUGAGCGCUGAAGGUUGGUACUUGUACCAACUGGAUGAGCAGCGAACGGGUGAGUAACGCGUGGGGAAUCUGCCUUUGAGCGGGGGACAAAAUUUGGAAACGAAUGCUAAUACCGCAUAAAAACUUUAAACACAAGUUUUAAGUUUGAAAGAUGCAAUUGCAUCACUCAAAGAUGAUCCCGCGUUGUAUUAGCUAGUUGGUGAGGUAAAGGCUCACCAAGGCGAUGAUACAUAGCCGACCUGAGAGGGUGAUCGGCCACAGUGGGACUGAGACACGGCCCAAACUCCUACGGGAGGCAGCAGUAGGGAAUCUUCGGCAAUGGACGAAAGUCUGACCGAGCAACGCCGCGUGAGUGAAGAAGGUUUUCGGAUCGUAAAACUCUGUUGGUAGAGAAGAACGUUGGUGAGAGUGGAAAGCUCAUCAAGUGACGGUAACUACCCAGAAAGGGACGGCUAACUACGUG
rnacentral:rRNA from 1 species